rnacentral:rRNA from 1 species
GGGUGAGUAAUGCUUAGGCAACCUGCCAUUUUGUUGGGGAUAACUCCCGGAAACGGGUGCUAAUACCGAAUAAUCUCUUUAAAUCUCCUGGUUUUUAGAGGAAAGGCUUCGGCCGCAAAAUGAGGGGCUUAAGUCUGAUUAGCUAGUUGGUGAGGUAAUGGCUCACCAAGGCUCCGAUCAGUAGCUGGUUCGAGAGGAUGAACAGCCACACUGGGACUGAGAUACGGCCCAGACUCC